GUCGGGUUCGGGAUGAAGUUGUUGACCUUCCCGCCGAUGACCAUCUCGACGUGGCGGCCGUCCUGGACGACACGCACCCCGCGGUGCCGGAACUUCCG
rfam:Frankia sp. ETN1h contig_64, whole genome shotgun sequence.